AAAGUGGAGGCUAUUGUAACUGAAGAGAACUGGAAAGUUCCACCGUAGAAGGUAAUAGUCCUGUAAGUGAAACGAGAAGACCACGAGUUAUGAUCCAGAGUACCACGAGACACGUGAAACCUUGUGGGAAGCAGGGAGGACCACCUCCCAAGGCUAAAUACUACCUGAUGACCGAUAGUGAAGCAGUACCGUGAGGGAAAGGUGAAAAGAACCCCGGGAGGGGAGUGAAAUAGAACCUGAAACCGUGUGCCUACAACCGCUCAGAGCCCCUUAUGAGGGUGAUGAGGUGCUUUUUGUAGAACGAGCCAACGAGUUACGGUAUGUAGCAAGGUUAAGUACUUAAGGUACGGAGCCGAAGGGAAACCGAGUCUGAAUAGGGCGACUAGUUGCAUGCCGUAGACCCGAAACCGGGUGACCUAUCCAUGGCCAGGUUGAAGCGAGGGUAAAACCUCGUGGAGGACCGAACCACGUUGCUGUUGAAAAAGCAUGGGAUGAGCUGUGGAUAGCGGAGAAAUUCCAAUCGAACCCGGAGAUAGCUGGUUCUCUCCGAAAUAGCUUUAGGGCUAGCGUCGAGUAUGAGUAGUGGAGGUAGAGCACUGAAUGGGCUAGGGGGCAUAGCGCUUACCGAACCUUAUCAAACUCCGAAUGCCACAUACUUUGAGCUCGGCAGUCAGACUACGAAUGAUAAGAUCCGUGGUCAAAAGGGAAACAGCCCAGAUCGUCAGCUAAGGUCCCAAAGUGUAAGUUAAGUGGGAAAGGAUGUGAGAUUUCUAAGACAACUAGGAUGUUGGCUUAGAAGCAGCCAUUCAUUAAAAGAGUGCGUAAUAGCUCACUAGUCGAGAGAUCUUGCGCCGAAAAUGUAACGGGGCUAAACUUACCACCGAAGCUACGGGCUUGAACUUAGUUCAAGCGGUAGGAGAGCGUCGUAACCGGGCUGAAGUCGUACCGUAAGGAGCGGUGGACUGGUUACGAGUGAGAAUGUUGGCAUCAGUAGCGAGAUGUGGGUGAGAAUCCCACAGGCCGAAAACCUAAGGUUUCCUCAGGAAGGUUCGUCCGCUGAGGGUUAGUCGGGACCUAAGCCGAGGCCGAAAGGCGUAGGUGAUGGACAACUGGUUGAUAUUCCAGUACCACUACCAUCGUUAUUAUCGAUGGCGUGACGCAGGAGGAUAGUGUGUGCUAGCUAUUGGAUGCUAGUCUAAGCGUUUAGGCAGUGAGAGUAGGCAAAUCCGCUCUCAUAAUGCUGAGGCGUGAUGGGGAAGGUUCUACGGAACCGAAGUACAUGAUUCCACGCUGCCAAGAAAAGCGUCUAGAGAGAGAAGUAGUGCCCGUACCGCAAACCGACACAGGUAGGUGAGGAGAGAAUCCUAAGGCCGGCGGAAGAAUUACAGUUAAGGAACUCGGCAAAUUGACCCCGUAAGUUCGCGAGAAGGGGUGCCUACGAGAGUAGGCCGCAGAGAAUAGGCCCAAGCAACUGUUUAGCAAAAACACAGGUCUCUGCUAAAGCGUAAGCUGAUGUAUAGGGGCUGACGCCUGCCCGGUGCUGGAAGGUUAAGGGGAACACUUAGCGCAAGCGAAGGUGUGAACUUAAGCCCCAGUAAACGGCGGCCGUAACUAUAACGGUCCUAAGGUAGCGAAAUUCCUUGUCAGGUAAGUUCUGACCCGCACGAAUGGCGUAAUGACUUGGGCACUGUCUCAACUGUAAAUCCGGCGAAGUUGUAGUGCGAGUGAAGAUGCUCGCUACCCGCGAUUGGACGGAAAGACCCCGUAGAGCUUUACUGUAGCUUAGCAUUGAGUUUUGGUAUUGUCUGUACAGGAUAGGUGGGAGACUAGGAAACCAGGGCGUCAGCCUUGGUGGAGUCAACCUUGGGAUACCACCCUGACAGUACUGAAAUUCUAACUGGCGGCCAUGAAUCUGGUCACAGGACAUUGUUAGGUGGGCAGUUUGACUGGGGCGGUCGCCUCCUAAAAAGUAACGGAGGCGCCCAAAGGUUCCCUCAGAACGGUCGGAAAUCGUUCGAAGAGUGCAAAGGCAGAAGGGAGCCUGACUGCGACACCCACAAGUGGAGCAGGGACGAAAGUCGGGCUUAGUGAUCCGGUGGUACCUCGUGGGAGGGCCAUCGCUCAACGGAUAAAAGCUACCUCGGGGAUAACAGGCUGAUCUCCCCCAAGAGUCCACAUCGACGGGGAGGUUUGGCACCUCGAUGUCGGCUCGUCGCAUCCUGGGGCUGAAGUAGGUCCCAAGGGUUGGGCUGUUCGCCCAUUAAAGCGGCACGCGAGCUGGGUUCAGAACGUCGUGAGACAGUUCGGUCCCUAUCCGUCGCGGGCGUAGGAAAUUUGAGAGGAGCUGUCCUUAGUACGAGAGGACCGGGAUGGACUGACCUCUGGUGUACCAGUUGUUCCGCCAGGAGCACAGCUGGGUAGCUAAGUCGGGAAUGGAUAAACGCUGAAAGCAUCUAAGCGUGAAGCCAACCUCAAGAUGAGAUUUCCCAUAGCGUAAGCUAGUAAGAUCCCUUGAAGAACACAAGGUUGAUAGGUCGGGGGUGUAAGCAUGGUAACAUGUUCAGCUGACCGAUACUAAUAGAUCGAGGGCUUGACCAAAU
rnacentral:rRNA from 1 species